AUGGCCUACCGAGAAGUCAUCGAAGCGAUUAGUUCGUUGGUGGUCCACGUUUGCCGGUGUCGCAUCAAAGAUCUUAAUCAUUUAUUUGUAUCUGUCCGUCCUCUCAGCAUCGGUACCUACCUGCUAGUUCCUCAUUGUGUACUCGUCGAAUCCUCAUGAAGCGACGGCGAGCUUGCGACGGCGUUACAAGACGAUUUUAUUGGCCGAUCUCAAGAGCCCAUUACGUAAUAACUCUCCGCCAUCCGCCAUCGAUCCUAGAUCAACGAUAAACGAUCGGUAGAUACGUACCGUAAGGAUCUUUCUUUUGGUGAUCGCCGCUGCAAGAUGGCAUUGAUUACCGAUCAGUUUCCACUGCAGCGCCAUGGACUUUUUGCUUAGUCAGCUGAAAAAUCCUGAGAAAAUGAUGCCAAGCGAUAUAUCCUGCACAAGGCUGCAGGUGAUCCAUCUCCUGGAGGCCGAUGUAUGCUUAAUACCCAGUUCACACGCAGUCACGUAUAACACGCGUGCACGUACUACUUGGUGCAGUGUGUCGGUGAAGAGGAUGCACCAUGUAAAAGGUUGGGACGGUACUGUUAGAGACUGUACAUGGUCCGCGUCCCAUAUGGAUAUGUACCUGCCUACAUUCCUCCACUAGAAUCUUAACGGCUACACGUUUAUCUCUCUCGCCAUGGUAUGGCAUUGUGUGUAUAUCUAUAGUUGCGUGUAUAUAUAUGCUGCAUAUAAGAUGCAUGAUGGAUACAUUAGAGAAGAGGAUGGGAAGAAGGUGGAGAAUCUCGGAUCGGCGCUGUAUUAAUCUUAAACGCACGUCAAUAAUCAGACACAUUAUAGAUCCUUGGGAUCAAUGAUAAAAAAAAUCUCACCGAGUAUAUGGGAUACGUCACGACGUCAUAUAUCCAGAGCAGGAAUGUCACGUCUGGAACUCUUCAUAGUACCUGAUCAUUUUGUUUCAACUCUUUUAUUCAUCGAUAUCCAACACUGAUAUCUUUUAUCCGGAUGCGAAUAUACUCUGAAUGGGCUACGAGAUAGAAAUACCUAAUAAAAUAUCUCUCUGGACCAUAAUGAAAUCCUCACCCUCACGGUGCAAUGGACUCCCUCAAAGUUUAGCUAUCUCUAAUGAACUGGUAGUCCGUUGGUUAGCAGGCACAGUAUGUAUGCUUGUACAUAUGUAGCUACAGGGUGUUAGAUAGGGGAUUGGCAGCCCGUCGGGCUCCUUCGGUUCUGGAAUAGGUAGCUGUAUGUACUGA